UCUCAUGGCCCCUCCUACUUCACAGACACACCCUCUCUUACCCCUCCUACUUCACAGACACACCCUCUCAUGGCCCCUCCUACUUCACAGACACACUCUCUGGUCCCUCCUACUUCACAGACACACCUUCUCAUGGCCCCUCCCACUUCACAGACACACCCCCUCCUGGCCCCUCCUACUUAGUCACCCACUCACCAAAGGCCUGGAAAGGUACCAUAGACAAAGCACCUACUGUGUGCUGAGCUCUCCUAACUUCACACUCCCUCCAGAAGACAGAUGAGCAAAAGAGAUUUCCACGUGAGAAAGGUCCCACCAGGUUCAAGUCCAAGGCAGGCUGAUCUACUUGAGUUAGGCCUAGAGGGGCAGGGAGAGAGGUUGGAGGCCUCUCUCCCUGGGUCUGCUCGCCUCACCCUUCACUCUUUACCUUCCUCUUCAGCCUGGGUGUCUGGACAAGAGCAGGAGAGCUGAUGCAGUUAAUUGGAGCGUCUUGAAAGUGCACAUUAACACAGAGAGAGCCGAGGAGACGUCUUGGCAGCAGAAUAUCGUUAUCACUUCUUGAGCUCCAGCCAAAAUCCCCUCGCGGUCAAAACACAAUUCUUUAAACUAAACAAUUAAAGAUUUGUGCGAGUG